AUGUUACUUUUACUCUUUCAUCCGGUUGUUCUCAAACUCACUCAAAUUUGAGCAGCAAUGUUGUUAAGUGGAAUCGACUCUAGAGUUGCCCAUAAGAAACUGCAUACAAAGUUUUACAACUGAAGCUCACCCAGUUCCCGAGUUCACAUAGUUCCAUGAGAGACUUGGGUAUCUAAGCGACGCCUCACUUUGGCGCAAGCUAACAACACGACAGUGAUUACAGGGUAUCAAAAGCAAUCAAAGCCCGCAUCUUAAGUCCACACAACAGCUGAACCUCGAAAUCAAGAACAGCAGAAAGCGAAAAGGGGCAGCAAGCGUCGCCCCAACCAUAAUACUAAUAAAAAAGAAGCUCGGGAACAGGCAAACCCAAUGCCUUACAUAGAGUUUGGCAAAGAGUUCUGUUAGUCGACUGCAGCAGCAGCAGCAGCAGAAGAAGAUCCAAGGAAGAAUCGAGGAAGGCCACAGCCGAAGCCAAAAGCCGACGAACAUCUGCGGCAAACGAACUUCAAAAAUAGAGAGAAGGCAAGAGAGAGAGAGAGAGAGAGAGGCAGAGAGAGAGAUGAAACAUAAUAAUAAUAAAUAAGGAAUCACAGUUGGGCCACAGACAACAGGAUCAGCGCCUCCUGUUCGUAUUACCCGUUGUCCAGGCUUACUUUAAAGGGUAUAUCGCGUGUUGGGUUUUGAUAAGAUUCAUCUUACAGCUCGCAAAAUAAGAACAAAUGCUUAAGAUCUUAAUACUCUGCGAUUCUGAAUACAGGGUAUAUUGGUUUUGUGCAGUUACCGUUGGACUCUCUGUCGGAAUGCAACUAUAAGAUUGAGAGUUUUCGACUUUGAUUACAGAGCUUAAUCCAAAAAGAUGCCAUCCUUGAAUUCUGCAAA